rnacentral:rRNA from 1 species
AACGCUGGCGGCGUGCCUAAUACAUGCAAGUCGAACGAACUCUGGUAUUGAUUGGUGCUUGCAUCAUGAUUUACAUUUGAGUGAGUGGCGAACUGGUGAGUAACACGUGGGAAACCUGCCCAGAAGCGGGGGAUAACACCUGGAAACAGAUGCUAAUACCGCAUAACAACUUGGACCGCAUGGUCCGAGUUUGAAAGAUGGCUUCGGCUAUCACUUUUGGAUGGUCCCGCGGCGUAUUAGCUAGAUGGUGGGGUAACGGCUCACCAUGGCAAUGAUACGUAGCCGACCUGAGAGGGUAAUCGGCCACAUUGGGACUGAGACACGGCCCAAACUCCUACGGGAGGCAGCAGUAGGGAAUCUUCCACAAUGGACGAAAGUCUGAUGGAGCAACGCCGCGUGAGUGAAGAAGGGUUUCGGCUCGUAAAACUCUGUUGUUAAAGAAGAACAUAUCUGAGAGUAACUGUUCAGGUAUUGACGGUAUUUAACCAGAAAGCCACGGCUAACUACGUGCCAGCAGCCGCGGUAAUACGUAGGUGGCAAGCGUUGUCCGGAUUUAUUGGGCGUAAAGCGAGCGCAGGCGGUUUUUUAAGUCUGAUGUGAAAGCCUUCGGCUCAACCGAAGAAGUGCAUCGGAAACUGGGAAACUUGAGUGCAGAAGAGGACAGUGGAACUCCAUGUGUAGCGGUGAAAUGCGUAGAUAUAUGGAAGAACACCAGUGGCGAAGGCGGCUGUCUGGUCUGUAACUGACGCUGAGGCUCGAAAGUAUGGGUAGCAAACAGGAUUAGAUACCCUGGUAGUCCAUACCGUAAACGAUGAAUGCUAAGUGUUGGAGGGUUUCCGCCCUUCAGUGCUGCAGCUAACGCAUUAAGCAUUCCGCCUGGGGAGUACGGCCGCAAGGCUGAAACUCAAAGGAAUUGACGGGGGCCCGCACAAGCGGUGGAGCAUGUGGUUUAAUUCGAAGCUACGCGAAGAACCUUACCAGGUCUUGACAUACUAUGCAAAUCUAAGAGAUUAGACGUUCCCUUCGGGGACAUGGAUACAGGUGGUGCAUGGUUGUCGUCAGCUCGUGUCGUGAGAUGUUGGGUUAAGUCCCGCAACGAGCGCAACCCUUAUUAUCAGUUGCCAGCAUUAAGUUGGGCACUCUGGUGAGACUGCCGGUGACAAACCGGAGGAAGGUGGGGAUGACGUCAAAUCAUCAUGCCCCUUAUGACCUGGGCUACACACGUGCUACAAUGGAUGGUACAACGAGUUGCGAACUCGCGAGAGUAAGCUAAUCUCUUAAAGCCAUUCUCAGUUCGGAUUGUAGGCUGCAACUCGCCUACAUGAAGUCGGAAUCGCUAGUAAUCGCGGAUCAGCAUGCCGCGGUGAAUACGUUCCCGGGCCUUGUACACACCGCCCGUCACACCAUGAGAGUUUGUAACACCCAAAGUCGGUGGGGUAACCUUUUAGGAACCAGCCGCCUAAGGUGGGAC